CGCCGAGAGGCUGGAGCUGCGGCAGCGCAGGCCCGGGCCGCCGUGUCUCCGCCGCCCGCUUCAGUUUUCCUCGGGGC
ensembl:miRNA